rnacentral:rRNA from 1 species
AACGAACGCUGGCGGCAGGCUUAACACAUGCAAGUCGAGCGCCCCGCAAGGGGAGCGGCAGACGGGUGAGUAACGCGUGGGAAUCUACCCAUCUCUACGGAACAACUCCGGGAAACUGGAGCUAAUACCGUAUACGUCCUUCGGGAGAAAGAUUUAUCGGAGAUGGAUGAGCCCGCGUUGGAUUAGCUAGUUGGUGGGGUAAUGGCCUACCAAGGCGACGAUCCAUAGCUGGUCUGAGAGGAUGAUCAGCCACACUGGGACUGAAACACGGCCCAGACUCCUACGGGAGGCAGCAGUGGGGAAUAUUGGACAAUGGGCGAAAGCCUGAUCCAGCCAUGCCGCGUGAGUGAUGAAGGCCCUAGGGUUGUAAAGCUCUUUCACCGGUGAAGAUAAUGACGGUAACCGGAGAAGAAGCCCCGGCUAACUUCGUGCCAGCCGCCGCCGUAACAC